AGCAGCCCCAGCCUCGCGCGUGGGGCCUCUGCCCGCACACACGCAGCCAGGCACUGUAAGCAUCUUCACUUUUUGUUUUUGCUGAUGUUGAUUUAACUGCUAAUUGGUGACAGAAAUUGUCAAGUAGGUGGCAGAUAGCGACUGCGGAAACUUCCGUUGAAGGAGGCUUCUAAUGUGAGGAAAAACACAGAAUGACAAGUGUGGGAAAGAGCAAGCACUAAAUUACUGUCAGAAAAAUAAACGGAGUAGCACAGUGGUGCUCAGUGAUUUACGGGGGCAAUUAGUCACCACCCCACGGCGCUGCUGAGGACAGCACCGCAGCAGACGCGUCAGGCCCACGAGGAAGAAGAGGCUGUACGCUGCUCUCCAGACAACUUUUCAAACAACAAGAGAGGAUAUUUGAGCACAUCAGGUUCCGUGUCUUCAUUCUGGGUGCCUACCCUUCACAUUAUUCCACCAACUUAAUACAUAAACGUAUUUUUUAGCACAAUA